AACGAACGCUGGCGGCAUGCCUAACACAUGCAAGUCGAACGAGACCUUCGGGUCUAGUGGCGCACGGGUGCGUAACGCGUGGGAACCUGCCCUUAGGUUCGGAAUAACUCCCCGAAAGGGGUGCUAAUACCGGAUAAUGUCUUCGGACCAAAGAUUUAUCGCCUUUGGAUGGGCCCGCGUUGGAUUAGCUAGUUGGUAGGGUAAAAGCCUACCAAGGCGACGAUCCAUAGCUGGUCUGAGAGGAUGAUCAGCCACACUGGGACUGAGACACGGCCCAGACUCCUACGGGAGGCAGCAGUGGGGAAUAUUGGACCAUGGGCGCAAGCCUGAUCCAGCAAUGCCGCGUGAGUGAUGAAGGCCUUAGGGUUGUAAAGCUCUUUUACCCGGGAUGAUAAUGACAGUACCGGGAGAAUAAGCGCCGGCUAACUCCGUG
rnacentral:rRNA from 1 species